rnacentral:misc_RNA from 1 species
CCCGAAGCUCAGAACGGCAAGUCGUGCAGCCGUCACCUUCCACUCAGACACACACGCACACAACAGCCGCGCGCCUCUCUUACAGGCGUCACCAUAUCGUUGCGCCCACAUCAGACAGCUGUUUGCCACCUCCCUGUCCCCUUCGCGACCAUCAUCCACCCGACCCCACCCAGCCCGACAAUCUGCAUGCACAUGCGCACGAGUUGCCAGCGUGAGUGUCACCGCCUCAUCAAAAGCGUCGAAACGGGGGGAGGCGAGAGAAGCGCAACAGCAAAAAAAAACUUAAACGCUCGCACGUUACUCUGUGAGCGAUGUCGAAAAAACUGCUCAAGGCAUCGUCCAAGACGCCGUCUAAGGAAGUGGCAGCGAAGUUCCAGGUGACGCUCGGACAAGUCGACUGUGCGCCGUUCACCUUCUCCGAUGCGGAAGACGCCCGCGUCUACGCUGAGGUGGAGCAGCUGCUGGAAAAGCUGCAGUCCAACACCACCAUCGAGGCGUUUGUGACGGUGCAGCGCAAGAUGAUGGAGCUGGCGGCAUACCCUGCAGUUGUGGCUGUCGUUGCGGGUCGCUUUCCGCUGCUCUUCUCUGUGCUGGCGCGGCUCGAGCAAGACCUCGGCGUCCCUCACGCAGAGUCGAUGAGCGUUGCGGGAGUCGGAUGGGACGUCUGGUGCCGCAACACGUGGUUGGCUAACGCGUGCGCUGUGGAGGACAUCGGCGACCAGGCGCUGGCCACCAUCGCCUCUCUACCGCAGCUUUUGCGCAGCAUCGAGAGGGAUGGUGACGACACUGUAAACGAGGUUUGGUCGGUGCUGCAUGUCCUCUCGUGGGCACUGCGCUGCUCAGCAAACGGCGGCUCCGUAGCAACACUUCUGGAAAGCUGCGAGGAGUUCUGGCUGCUAGUGGGGUCGGAGGUGGUAACGGCAGGACGACACGUUGGCGUGCAGCUCGUCCUGCUGGACCUCCUCAGCGCCUUGGCGCUCCACGUCGCUUUCUCAACGGCACUUCGCAAGCGGCUCCUGGCGCUCGUGGCGGAGCUGACGCAGCUACCACUCCCUGUGCACUUUCACACAGCCGUGAGGCUGUACUAUGGAUGCGCGGUCAUCGAGCAGGAAGACGAGGGGGCCGCCGUGGAGAAGGCGCACGAGCAGCUCCGCUAUGCUUGGGCGCAGCUGACACAGCAGUCUGCCCUCAUACCACCUGCGCUGCAGGCGGCAGAGUGGAUUGUUGGGGCAGAGGUGAAACAGCGCCUAGAAACCGCCAGGCAACUUCAUUGCCUUCUCCGCUGCAGCUGCAGCGGUACCGUCCCCGACGUGAAGUCUGUAACGGCAUUUCACAAAAAGGCAUGUGAGCUGCCGGCGGCCCUUCGUGCCUUCUGCGUACACGCGCUUCCCGGGAACCCGCUUCUGUGGCUGCACCGGGCCCUCGUGAACUCCUCGAAGGCGCCCCUCGUCGCGGCGAUCACCGACACACUCGCCGACGUCGUGCUCGACGCGGCGCACGAGAGUGAGGCAGCCGAGACGACGGGCGCCGGGCACGCGCGAGUCGGCAACAACGCGUACGCGCAGCUCUGCCUACAGCAGCUGUGGGUGGGCGGAAUGAGUGUGUCGCUGAGCGCUCUGCUGAACCGGCGCAACUCGGCCAUCACGGCGGCUGUGAUGCGGCUGCUGCAGUGGAUCGCCAUCCGCACCUCACAUGAAGGCUCAACGCGGCGUGUUUUGCUUGGCACCCCUAGCAUUUCUCUCAUUGUCGACGUCUUGGCCGGCAUUGCCAAGAGCGAUGCAGUUAAAAGGGAACUCAAGAAAAAGGCAGUGCGGGCUGUGGUAGAGAACGCUUUCUGCCUGGUGUGCGCGUUGGAUCACGCAGAGCUGGCGAGCGUCUUCAACGACUCGCUUGUCGUAUCUACCAGCACGCUCAUAUCCGAGGGCAAAGACGAUCCCAGUCUCCUGCACCAUGGUCUACGUGCGCUUGCCCACCUCGCCGCUGCCUUCCCGAUGGCGGCGUCGAUGGCCCUAGACUUUGACUUUCUCGCCGAGCAGUGCGCCAUCGCAGACUUACCAGCGGUUAGCGAUGGCGCCCUCAUCGUGGGCUCGCUGAAUGUGAUGAGUGCCAUCGUUGCCCAGCAGCCAGCCGUGGUUACCUUUGAGUGGAUCGAGGUCCUGCUCGGCAUUCUGCAGAACCUCGACGGGUGGCGGCGUAACGUGCCGGAGCUGGACGUCACUCUUUGGCGAUGUGUGCGGCACACCAUCGAGGCCUCCGAGGACUGCAACGAGUACCUCUUCACGGAGGAAACGCACAAGGUGCUUCGAAACGAGCUGGAGAGCAUGAAAUGCGAGGGCGCACGUCUUCGUGACGUUUUGCCAUCCCUUCUCGCCAUUGCCGCCCGCAUGCAGCCUUUUGACCAUCCGCGAUUGAACGCCGCGACCUAUGAGGCGAUCAAGCGCGUGCCGGUGGCGCAGUGGACGGAGGACAUAUGCGACGGUGCCCUCCGCUUCCUUGUCGCAUCGUGUCCGUCGCUGGACUCCGACAAGGCGGAUGAAGCUACUGCGCGGCGUGCUGUCACGGCGGCCGCGGCCGUCCUCUACGGGGCUGAGCAGUCACAUGUCCGUCUGCCGGCCAGCGCGUGUGAGAAUUUUGUGCGGGGCCUUUCCGUAAAAGGCCUCGCCACUGACGCUGCGACGGCGCUCUUCGACCUGGCACACGCCGCUGCGGCGGCGUUGUCCGCUUCAGGCGCUGCGAUGGCAGCUUGUGAGGCAACGAUGCUACGCAGCAGCCUUCUGCCGCUUCUCCACAAUCUGUUUGCCACAUGCCCAACGGCUCGAUCGCCGGAUGCAGCGGAACGCGCUCAGUGCCUGUGCAGCGUUCUGGCGGGUGCGCAAUCGAGCGCUUGCACGCCGCAGCUGCUCCAAGCCGCGCUGCUCCUCGUGGAGGACACUUGUGCCAGCAUGGACGCUGCUGGCACAACCCCGGAGAGCAUCGAGAUGCAACAAGUAUGGACGAGCCUGACGAACAUCGCGCAUCAGGCAGCCGGCAAGGAGGGGGACGAGGCGUGGCUUGCCGUCUUGAGCCGCGUCUACGCAGUCGCGCAUACCCUUAUUCUCAUCUCCUCCGCCGUGCCUAUCUUGAGCGAGUGUGACCCUCGUGUGGACUUCGUCGGCAAGUGCGGACUGUUGCAUGUGUCCAUGGCGGAGGGCGCUGCACUGCUCCAGACGGUGCUCCACUACGACGACGCGCGUGCUAGCCUGCGGCGGGACUACGGUGAGCCUUACUCAGCCGCGCUCCAGUACAUAGCAGACCCCACUCAUUACGCGAGCGGGUUGGUCCCGCUCUCGCUACAACGGUAUCUGAAGGAAGUGACGCAGCGCUGAACCGCUGCAAUGCUGCGACCGCCGCAGUGUCUGUGUGGCGUUGUAUCUCCGAUCCUGCCUCCUCCCCCGUCUAUCAUCAUGUGAGCAGCGACUCCUUCAAAUGCAGAACACUCGAUAAGCACUCCUCAUUGGACCUGAUAUGUUCCUGGUGGUAGGUGCACAUGAUGCAAGCGGGACUUUUGGGGUGGGGGCAGGGAUGCUCAAGCGCCGCCGAGAGGCCCACUGCCAACUCUUUUCUGUGUGCCGGCCCGUCCAUCUCUCACCCCUGCGCGCCGACGCGUCACUCACACACACAAAUGGACGGGUGCGCACAAGGGCAAGGACUGCACUGCGUUCAUGUUCGGUAGAAAUCGAGAAGGGAGAAGUGCGUGCGACCCGGCCCAAGGGCUGGCGCCCCUGGAUAGCCUCACGCGCCUUCUCGCUCGCCUUCGCUUCAUUGUGCUGGAUUGCUGAC